UUCCCUCACUCCCUGGGCCCCGGGACCGCCGCCCCCGCCUCUGCUUCCUGCUGGCUGAGAGCGCCGAGCGCGCCGCCGGAGGCUGGGGGACGUGGAGGCUCCGGGCAGGCAGCCUGCCUGGCUUCCUGCAGGGCGUGGUUUCUGAAACCUCCACGCGGAGGCACCUUCCCCAAAGUCGCCCCUUCCACCCUCCACACCUCCGCCGUGGCGCUUCUUCCCCGCCUCCCGGGCCGGCCGGCCCCACGGCCACGUCGUCAGACUGCCUGGAGGAAUUUCUUGUCAGGGCUUCUGAAUAGGUUUGAGGCAAAGGCUUCCGGAGGGACCCCCAUUCCAGGACGGGUCCGGCCCCACCCAGCUUGGCGAAGCAGGCGCGUCUCCAGCGCCACCUGGCGGCCGUCAGGAGCCCCGCAGCGCCAUCUGGAGCUCCCGGGAAUUCCGCUGAGUCACUUCCGAGGCGUCAGCGGCAGACCCAGAGGGAACAAUAAGGAUCGUUCGAUUCCCGAGGCAGUGGUUCAGCGCUCACCUGGAAGACCCGGCCCGUACCUUGUCUAAAGGCCUCGUCGUGGCCAACGAGGCCAACCCCACCUCGUCCCCUGCCACUCUCCCCCAUCCAUCCUAGUGACCACGCAGGCUCCUGCCUCAGGGCCUUUGCACUAGCUUGUGCCCUCCGACUGGCACGCUCCCCCCUGGGCACCUGUAGCCUGCACAUCCUUCCCACCGUCACUGCCAAGGCGUCUGCUCCAGUGGGGAUGUUUCAGAGAGGAGCAAGGGGGGGAGCUGCCAGCCUGACCCGCAGAUGCUCGGAUGGGCAGUUAGAUUGGAAAAGAUGCAAACUACUAACUGGGAGCGCCACGUGCCGUAUGGUGCAAGUGGACAGGUGUGUGCGCCCGGUGUGCGUGACCGUGUGACGGUGCAAGGCUGCCUGUGCAAAGCGUAGACCCCAGCGCACUGAGCUUGCUUCACGCGAAUUCCCCACCGGCCCGGAUGCCGGUCUUGCAGCCAUUGUCUCCCGGCUCCAAGCCCAUCCUUCACAGCGAGGCUCCGGCUGGGGGCUGCAAACUACGAUUCCCAGAAUNNNNNNNNNNNNNNNNNNNNNNNNNNNNNNNNNNAGCAGCCGCCGGGACUCAACCUUUCGGAUGCUGGGGACUUUGCAGUCGCCUUUAGCAUCUGAGGAUGACAUAGGGAGCCCUUCUCAGAAUCGUGCUUAAAAAAAAAAAGUUGAAACCUUUAAGUUGUGUUUUUAUUGUAUCCUGCCUUUUUAAAAUUGUGGUAAAAUAGCAUAACAUAACAUUUCCCAUCUUAAACAAUUUCAACUGUGGAGUUGAGUCAUAAGUAUCCACUCUGUUGUGAAACAGCACUCCAGAACUUUCUCUCUUUGCAAAUCUGAAACUCUAUACCCUUUAAAUUCUCCUUUCCCCUAAACCCCCUGGUAAUCACCCUUGUACUUUCUGUUUCCAAGUUUGACUUUAGGUAUGCCGUGCAAGUGCAAUCAUACGAUACUUGUCCUUUUGCAGCUGGCUUAUUCACUCAGCACCAUGUCCUCAAGGUCCAUCCGUGUCCUAGCACGUGUCACAAUCCCCUUCCCUUUAAAAGUGGAAUUCUGUCGCAUUGCGUGUACCUGUUGUUUAUCCAUUCAUCAUAGACAGACACUUGGUCAGAAUGAGGCACUUUUUAAAAAUUUAUUUAUUUAUUUAUUUAUUUAUUUAUUUAUUUAUUUAUUUCAGAGAGAGUGAGAGCACAGUGGGAGAGGCAGAGGGAGCGAGAGUCUCAAGCAGAUUCCCCAGCAAGCACGGAGCCUAACUCGACUCUGGGCUAGAUCUCAGGACCCCGAGAUCAGGACCUGAGCCAAAACCAAGAGUCAGGGGCGCCUGGGUGGCUCAGUCGUUAAGCAUCUGCCUUGGGCUCAGGUCCCGAUCCCAGGGUCCUGGGAUGGAGUCCCGCAAGGGGCUCCCUGCUCAGCGGGAAGCCUGCUUCUCCCUCUCUCACUCCCCCUGCUUGUGUUCCCUCUCUCGCUGUCGCUCUCUCUGUCAAAUAAAUAAAAUCUUUAACAAAACA
rnacentral:lncRNA from 1 species